CUUGAAUCAUAAAUAUAUUAAAAAAUCUAGAAUGUAAACAAUAUAUUAAUUAUCAUAAUAAAAAGCCAAUAAAUAAAAUUUUCUGCAUGGAAAAUUAUUGUGUAUCUUCAGUUAGUUCAAGUCUGCUGUUGUAUUUUUAUCAAACAGCUGCAGCUUUGUAGGAACAUCUGUUGCUCGUUGAUGCCAAGGGACAAAGUAUUAAGGUGCUUUUUCUCGUCAUGUGAAAGCAGUAGUGGAGUGGGCUGGUAAGUGCCAUUGUGUAUUUGUAUAGUAAUAUCAAGUCACCAAUUACAAUCUCUAAAAGUAAAGCAAUCAAAAUGGAGGGUUACCAUAGGCUCCAUCUGUGAGGCUAAAGUAAGAUUUCUCUUUUACCUCAUAUAGUCACUCAGAACAGGGACAUUUACUUUCAUUUCUGUCUUUAUUCUAAAGUGAUUUGAGCAUCUUUAUCUUCUAAGAAGACUCCCUGAAAACUCUCUACGCUACAGGAUAUUGUGGAGUGGGACUUUUCCAGUGUCUUCUCCUGAUAGUGUUUGACUGCUUGCCAGUGACUACCUAAGCUUCUCACUUAGGAGUCUGAGCCUUGCAGAGGUGGGAGAAUUUGCUUCAGAUCUCUUCUGUGAACAUGGUACAGGUAAACAUACCUUUGCCCAGGCUGAAUAUUCUAGUCACUGGUCUAUGGAAUAUGAGCAAACUACCAUUUUUUUCUUCAGAAUUGAGUCUAACACUAUUGUCCAGGACAUUUCCUUAGACAGUUUAAAGCAAAAUACGUAAAACACCAUAAGCACGGGGAUUCCCACCUCUUUUCUCUCAGCUGAGUGUCCUAUCAUUUCAGAAAGAAAGCAACUCAGAAUGCUGCAUGCUAAGUAUCGAUGUGUAGUCUUAAUCUCUGUGACUUUACUUGCAGCUUGAACCCUGAGUGUGUUUUGGCAGGAAUCGUGCUACCAGCCAGCCAGUCAAACCAGGGCUUGCUUUGGCCUGUGCAACUGAGGCAUCUUCAGGUGAAAGAUAUGCAUCUCCUGAGUUGCAGGAGAAAUAAGGGAUCCCUUCACCGAGUUGCCUGGUUGUUUUCUGGAAUCACCGGAAUGAAUUAAGAACUCUGCUGCAACCGACACUGUGUUACCUCUGCCUCGUUCUGUCUGGUCACAUAGCUCCACCGAGAAGUUCUCAGUCUAUCUUUUGUCUUGAUAAGCCAAGUUAAUAAUUUAUUCUUACUCUUUUCAUUAUGGUUUUUCUACACUGGAGUUUUCCUAUUGAUAGAUUCUGUAUUAAACAAGAUAUUUGUUAUCUUACAAAUGUUAGUGCUGGAAUAACUUUAUACUUAAUAAACAGUGAAAUACAUUUUUUAAUCCA
rnacentral:lncRNA from 1 species